UUCUUAGAAUCACGGAUGCUUGUGCAUGGUAAACAACUUAGAUUGACAGACACGGGGUAUAUAAUCGUCAAGACGGACAAGACGACUCAUAUUCGCCAAGAUGAAGAUCGUGUGCCUUCUACUUGCUGCUGCUCUGGUACUGGGGACCGUCUCCACAGUGGAUGCUCAAUGUCGUGGAUGUGGACAAAGUUGCGUGGUUCACAGAGAUUGCUGUGGAUGCAAGUGCCAUUACGGUAGAAACGCAAUCUGCGAUCGGGAACACAAUAAACCGCCGCAUUGCUCUUGUCAUGACCACUAACGGCCCAACGCUGCAGCUGUGGCAACGAAGUGAACUGGCAAUGGACUAAUGAUGGAUUUCGAAAGCAAGCGGAAUGUGGAGAACGCAACGUGUCAAGUCUGUAAAAAAUAAACCGUUCUUGUC